rnacentral:rRNA from 1 species
AAANCGACUCUCGGCAACGGAUAUCUCGGCUCACGCAUCGAUGAAGAACGUANCA